GACACAUUGUCAUCAUUACAAAAAUCAGACAAAGCACAUACAGAAGUAGAUGAAGAACCAGUAGAGGAAGAAGGGGAAGGUGGCAUCCAAGACAGUUUGUAUAGGCCAGCUUCCUCUUUACCAAGAUCCAGAAGCCUCUUCAGAGAAGGGUCCUGUAUCAUGUGGAGUAAACAGGAAGUUGGAGUAAACAAAACUAUGCAGUGCAACUGUUUUACUAACUUGUGGACAGAAAUCAAGUUAUGUUUAAAGGAAGGGACUAGCAGUACAUUGUGAAGAGUAAUGAAUGAAGUUAUUGCAAAAGAACCUGUACAAGUUACUUUCACUUUGUAACCAUUAGGCAAAGUUACAAGAUAAGGN
rnacentral:lncRNA from 1 species